AUUGAACGCUGGCGGCAGGCCUAACACAUGCAAGUCGAGCGGAUGACGGGAGCUUGCUCCUUGAUUCAGCGGCGGACGGGUGAGUAAUGCCUAGGAAUCUGCCUGGUAGUGGGGGACCACGUUUCGAAAGGAACGCUAAUACCGCAUACGUCCUACGGGAGAAAGCAGGGGACCUUCGGGCCUUGCGCUAGCAGAUGAGCCUAGGUCGGAAUAGCUAGUAGGUGAGGUAAUGGCUCACCUAGGCGACGAUCCGUAACUGGUCUGAGAGGAUGAUCAGUCACGCUGGAACUGAGACACGGUCCAGACUCCUACGGGAGGCAGCAGUGGGGAAUAUUGGACAAUGGGCGAAAGCCUGAUCCAGCCAUGCCGCGUGUGUGAAGAAGGUCUUCGGAUUGUAAAGCACUUUAAGUUGGGAGGAAGGGCAGUAAGUUAAUACCUUGCUGUUUUGACGUUACCGACAGAAUAAGCACCGGCUAACUCUGUGCCAGCCGCCGCCGUAAUAC
rnacentral:rRNA from 1 species